AAAGAGCCUGUCCACCCUCUCAACAUGGCUCCCUCUCCUGUAGGUCCCCUUGUCACUGAGGAAGAACUAGCUUUCUCCACCAGCAGAGAACAUGAGCCAACUGGAACAAUUUAAAAUGAAGCUGAGAAAGUGACAGACAGAAAGUUUUGCGAAACAAAACCCACAAACAUGGGUGGAGGCUUGCUAAAUCGGGAAGACAGUCUGCCCUGUCGUUACCCAGGCCCCUCCCAAACUGUGAGAGUUACAACUAUGCUGUGGGGUUCCAGCCAGUAACGUGAACAGAACUGCAUAAAAGCAGAAAGCGCCCUGCCCUAGACGUCUCUUCCUCCUCCGCCUGCAACUGAAAGUCCCAAGACUUGGAGAAUGAAAGGUCCAGAAAUUUCUACCUAUGAAAGAAGCUUUGAAUGUAAAAUGAAGACUGCGUAACAGAGAAAGUGCUGAUCUAAAACUCAGUGAAUUUGGGCAACGCGUGCUCCUUAAAGCAAACACAGAAUGGACACACACAUCUACAGCUUCUAACGGCGUCAGUGGACUUGAAGAGCCAAACAACAGCCAGCCUUUCCCGGCGAUCUUCCAACAUGCAGGGCUUUGUUUACUUAUUUAUAUCGUAUUUUGUAUGAAAGUAUGUUUUGCCUUCAUGUAUUACGUGCAUCGUGAGCGUCCCUGGUACUAUAGAAGUCAGAGAGGGUGCUGGUCCCUGUCCUGUGAGUUACUGCUGGCUGUGAGCCUCCAUGUGCUAUUAGCCAGGUCCUCUGCCAUAGCAACUACUGUUGUUAACCACUGAGCCAUCUCUCCAGUCCCAAAUCUCCAAUUUUUAAUUUUUUUCUUUAAAUUUAUUUUUAUUUUAUAUGUACUGGUGUUUUGCGUGCAUACGUGGGGGUUUGAGAUUCCCUGGGAUUGGAGUUACAGACAGUUGUGAGCUUCCAUGUAGGUGCUAAGACUUGAACUCAGGUCCUCUUGACGAGCAGCCAGUGCUCUUAAACUCUGCGCCAUCUCUCCAUCCCAAAAGGUUUAUUUAUUUAUUUAUUUAUUUAUUUAUUUAUUUAUUUGUGCAUUGGUGUUUUGCCUGUGUGUGCAUCUGGGUGAGGGUGUCAGAUCCGCUGGGUCUGGAGUA
rnacentral:lncRNA from 1 species